UACGAAGGGGGCUAGCGUUGCUCGGAAUCACUGGGCGUAAAGCGCACGUAGGCGGAUUGCUAAGUCAGGGGUGAAAUCCCGAGGCUCAACCUCGGAACUGCCUUUGAUACUGGGGAUCUCGAGUCCGGGAGAGGUGAGUGGAACUGCGAGUGUAGAGGUGAAAUUCGUAGAUAUUCGCAAGAACACCAGUGGCGAAGGCGGCUCACUGGCCCGGUACUGACGCUGAGGCACGAAAGCGUGGGGAGCAAACAGG
rnacentral:rRNA from 1 species